rfam:Tupaia chinensis contig12764, whole genome shotgun sequence.
UGGAAAUAAGACAGGGGCUGGGGCCAUGAGCCAGCCCGAGCCCUGGGAAGCAUAGGAUCA